rnacentral:sRNA from 1 species
UCACGAGGUGGGCACUCAGAGGCGGCGU